GGGCCAGGAUGCCCUCUGUUGGGUGUCAGCUGUGGGUGUCCCUGUCAGACAUGCUUCCCUGGGCUUGCAAAUACCAGAGUAGGAGACGCUUCUGAGUUCUUAUGGUGUAUGUGGGGAAACUGAGGCCCAGAUCAAGGAGUUGGAGUGGAUGUCAUGGCAGUCUGAUGUGACCGCAAACUAGGCACAAGAGUUUAAUAAGAAGAGGUUAGCUGUCGUGGAGGCAACACAUUCCUGCUCCAACACCUAGACAUCCUGGACAAAAUGUAACCAUAGGUUUUCUGACACACUGGUGAACUUCAAACUCAAGGUGUUGAAGCCUGAGGGACCUCAGCAGAGGCAGCACCAAAGUCAGCAGAAGGUGUGAAACUUUAGUGAAGAGCCAAAUUACAUGAGGAAGUACGUCGUCGUGAGGGAUGGCAGCAGCCCAACCCAGGGAGGACAGUUACCUCCAGUCACACUCGCCUGGGGGCUCACCGAGGGAAGGGACUGGCGACUAUUCCAGCAGGGGGAACAGCCUGUGCAAAGGCCAGGGGGCAGGAGGGAGCCUGGGUCAUAGGAAGAACCACAAAGAGGUUCAGCAUAGCUGCGGUCUGUGUGUGCAUGCAUGCGUGUGUGUGUGUGAGGUGUGCAUGUGUAAGUGUAGGCUUGGGUGUGGGAGGGGGAGACACAAACCUUUCAGCCCAGCAAGCGACCUUUCCAUUAUCUGCCUCCGUCUCUCUGCCUCAAACCUGCAUGGAUGACUUCUUGUUCUUGAGCAGGCAGAACGUUUUUGGAUGCCUUUCUCUGCUCUCCUUGGCUAGGUCACGUCCCCUCCUUUGUAUGCUGUUACCCCUCUGUGUCCCUCGGCUCUUCAAACCAUUAGAACAAAACGGCUU